ACCUGGCUGGUUCAGUGGGUGGAGCGUGCGACUCUUGAUCUCAGUGUUGUGAGUUCAAGCCUCACACCGGGUA
rnacentral:tRNA from 1 species